UGGCUCAUUAUAUAAGUUAUCGUUUAUUUGAUAGCACUCUUCUACUCGGAUAACUGUGGUAAUUCUAGAGCUAAUACGUGCUGAAAAUCCCAACUUCGGAAGGGCUGUAUUUAUUAGAUUAAAAACCAACGCCCCUCGGGGCUUCUUGGUGAUUCAUGAUAACUUCUCGAAUCGCAUGGCCUUGCGCCGGCGAUGGUUCAUUCAAAUUUCUUCCCUAUCAACUUUCGAUGCGAGGGUAUUGUCCUCGCAUGGUUACAACGGGUAACGGAGGGUUAGGGCUCGACCCCGGAGAAGGAGCCUGAGAAACGGCUACUACAUCCAAGGAAGGCAGCAGGCGCGCAAAUUACCCAAUCCCGACACGGGGAGGUAGUGACAAUAAAUACUGAUACAGGGCUCUUUUGGGUCUUGUAAUCGGAAUGAGUACAAUUUAAAUCCCUUAACGAGGAACAAUUGGAGGGCAAGUCUGGUGAACUCUAGCUAGUUCUGUUCUGCUGGCGCCAGAAAUAGCAGGCCCGGGAGAGUGCCAACUUUCCAAACAUGCUAGUCGAGCAUCCGCUAAAGGGCGGGGGGAUGCCGGCGAGACAACCUGGUUCGGGGAAGGCUACGGACGGCCAAACCAGCCGUCUACUGCUAAUCCCGAAUGGAGUGGUGGGAGAGCAAUCUUCCACACACCCAUGUAGAGCGCGGAAAGGUGUCGGUCGCACUGCCAGACGGCAGGCGGCUUAAGGGACGUGCCACCCCCUCCGAAAGGAGGUUUCCAGUCCGGAGCGCCCGCCACGCAAAGGACAGGAAGGUACCGGCCGGGAGGCCGGUAGGGAUCGAUCGCCUCGUGUGGAAGACCUCCACCGAGCAUUGCAGCCGAAAAGUGGCCAGCAGCCGCGGUAAUUCCAGCUCCAAUAGCGUAUAUUAAAGUUGUUGUGGUUAAAAAGCUCGUAGUUGAACCUUGGGCCUGGCUACAAGGACCGCCUCACCGCGAGAUCUUUUCGUAGCCGGGUCUUUCCCGCUGUGGAACCCCAUGGCCUUCACUGGUCGUGGCGGGGAAACAGGACUUUUACUUUGAAAAAAUUAGAGUGCUCCAGGCAGGCCUAUGCUCGAAUACAUUAGCAUGGAAUAAUAAAAUAGGACGCGUGGUUCUAUUUUGUUGGUUUCUAGGACCGCCGUAAUGAUUAAUAGGGACAGUCGGGGGCAUCAGUAUUCAAUUGUCAGAGGUGAAAUUCUUGGAUCUAUUGAAGACUAACUACUGCGAAAGCAUUUGCCAAGGAUGUUUUCAUUGAUAAGGAACGAAAGUUAGGGGAUCGAAGACGAUCAGAUACCGUCGUAGUCUUAACUAUAAACUAUGCCGACUAGGGAUCGGACGAUGUUAUAUUUUGACUCGUUCGG
rnacentral:rRNA from 1 species